GACGAACCGUGCAAACGUUAUUCGGAAUCACUGGGCUUAAAGGGCGCGUAGGCGGGCUCGCCAGUCAGGGGUGAAAGCCCACGGCUCAACCGUGGAAGUGCCUUUGAUACUGCGAGUCUCGAGGGAGGUAGGGGCGUGCGGAACUUCCGGUGGAGCGGUGAAAUGCGUUGAUAUCGAUAGGAACUCCGGUGGCGAAGGCGGCUCACUGGACCGGUAUUGACGCUGAGGUGCGAAAGCGUGGGGAGCAAACAGG
rnacentral:rRNA from 1 species